rnacentral:rRNA from 1 species
GACGAACGCUGGCGGCGUGCUUAACACAUGCAAGUCGAACGGGCUCUGUCUGGCUGUGUGCUGGGUGGGGGUAGUGGCGAACGGGUGAGUAAUACGUGAGUAACCUGCCCUCUUCUUUGGGAUAAGCCUUGGAAACGGGGGCUAAUACUGGAUAUUCCUGUCUGGUCGCAUGGCCGGGUGGGGAAAGAUUUUUUCGGUGGGGGAUGGGCUCGCGGCCUAUCAGCUUGUUGGUGGGGUGAUGGCCUACCAGGGCGGCGACGGGUAGCCGGCCGGAGAGGUUGUACGGGCACACUGGGGCUGAUAUGCGACACUGAGUCCGACGGGCGGCAGCGGUGGGGGCUAUUGGCAGCUGGGGGGAAGCCUGAAGCAGCGACGCCGCGUGGGGGCUGCCGGGUUUCGGGUUGUAAGCCUCUUUCGGCGGGGGAAAGGGCUCUGCUUGGUGGUGGGGUUGAGGGUACCCGGUGAAGAAGCGCCGGCUAACUACGUG